ACCUGGAUAGCUCAGUUGGUUGGAGCAUGGUGCUGAUAAUGCUGAUAAUGCUAAGGAUGCUAGUUCAAUCCCCGUAUUGGACA